rnacentral:tRNA from 1 species
CAGAAUAUAGCGCAGUGGUAGCGUAUUUGCUUUGGGAGUAAAUGGUCGUGGGUUCGAGUCCUACUAUUCUGA